GGUUAGCUCAGUUGGUAGAGCGCUCCACCUAUAAUGGAGAGGUCCCGGGUUCGAUACCCGGACCAGGCG
rnacentral:tRNA from 1 species